rnacentral:rRNA from 1 species
UACGGAGGGUGCAAACGUUGCUCGGAAUCAUUGGGCGUAAAGCGCGUGUAGGCGGCCCGGUAAGUCCGCUGUGAAAGUCGGGGGCUCAACCCUCGGAUGCCGGUGGAUACUGUCGGGCUUGAGUGCGGAAGAGGCGAGUGGAAUUCCUGGUGUAGCGGUGAAAUGCGCAGAUAUCAGGAGGAACACCAAUUGCGAAGGCAGCGCGCUGGGACGUUACUGACGCUGAGACGCGAAAGCGUGGGGAGCAAACAGG